UGGUCAUGAAGGGCAAAGGCAACAAUAAUUAUAGCAAGAAUGGUAAUGGAGGAAAGAAAGGUGGAGGUGGUGAUGGGAAGAAUAGUCACAGCAAGGGAGGGAGUGAAAAACAAGAUGGUAAAGGUAAAAAUGGUGGCAAAAGUGGUAUUGGUGGGUUCUUGAGUUUUGGUAGGAAGAGUAAAAAUGGAAGAGAAGGCAGUACUGAUAAGAGCUUCAAUAAUGGCAGCUCAGCUGGAAACUAUAAUUCCAAUGGGGCCAAGAAAGGCGGAGGCAAAAAUGAUGGGGUCCAUGAUUCUUACAAAAUCAAACAAGGGUACCGUGAAAUUGAUGUUAACA
rnacentral:misc_RNA from 1 species